CUAUGGCACGCGGGAACCACAUAAAUGAGAUAAUCACAAUUUAUCGGGGAUAAUGAUAGAUUAUCGGUCGACCAUUAUAGAUGUACGGCGUAAAGUAUACUUUACGGUUGUAAAUGCAUUUACGAAAUUAUCGUCGACAAUCUAUCAUUAUCGAUCAUAAAUGCAUUAACAGUCGACAAUCUAUAAUAAAGGAACGCGGGAACCACAUUAUUGGAUAAUAACAGUUUAACGGGCGAUUCGUAAAUGCAUUUACGCCCUGUUUUCGAUAGCAAUUCAUAUGUACCCAAUCACAAUAGGUUAUCGACAAUGCUAAUUAAUUUUGUCCAAUCAUAUCCAUCGAUUCAAAUGACAACGCGUUUAAGUCAAAUUGAUCGUCUAGCUAGAUCUCAACAACCGGCAAUUAAUAGUAUUUUAGAAUACUGUUUAUCUGUAAAAAUUGAGACGAAAUUAAU
rnacentral:lncRNA from 1 species